ACGGUUAUAUUUUACACCAUUUGAGAUUUCGGUUGUUACUGCGCCCUCUAGAGGUUGAUUGUGAAUUCAACUCGGAAUAUUCCGUAUUAAUUUAAAUUUGAAUUUAUUAUGGAAUAGUUAUUUCCGGAUAAGUGAGGUCGAAUAUCAUUACCGUUGGGAAAUAUUUUAUAAUUUCUGGAUUUCUUGUAUUACUUUUCUUCUGUGUGGGAAGUUUCGUUUGACAACUGGUAGAUUCUGUGGUUAGGAAUGAUUGUCAAAUAGAGGUUAUCGGCGAUUUGUGAUAAUUUGGAGAGAAGUUUUUUUUGGAGGAAAAAUUGACCAAAUUUGAAGAAUAUAUGAUCUAGAAUCAUCCUUAUUAUAGGCGAUUAUUUCUUCAAUUUGGAUAAUUCCCUGUUUAGUUUAUGGUAUUGUGAAUAUUUCUGGGAAAUACGUUUUAUACGUGAUUAUAAAAUUUUCCUUCCACAAGGCCCAUCUCUGGUAUUGAAUUCUACUCUGAAGAUCUGAGAGGAUUCGCUUCCCGGCGAUUAGUUCGAACAACUGUGGAACUUACACGAAGAAUAUCAAGAAGAUCCUUUUCCCUCGAACAACAACUGAGAGGGUCCUAGUGCCUGGUUGGAUUGAGAAUCCUAGUGCCUGGAUCACUGUUUGGAAUCCUAGUGCCUGGAUAAUUGUUUGGAAUCCUAGUGCCUGGUUGAAUUGAAUAAUCCUAGUGCCGGAUAUCUUUGAGCAUCCUAGUGCCUGGGUAUUUUGGAGAAUCCUAGUGCCUGGAUAAUUGUUGAGAAUCCUAGUGCCUGGUUACGUUCAGGAGUUCUGGAGUCUGGUAUAUGGUAUGGUUUGAGGUUAUGGUACUUAUUUUCUGGUGAAUUUCUGGUGCAGUUCUGAUGUAUGAUACAUUCUGAUACAUGGUACAGUUCGAGUACAUAGUAUAUUGCUGACAUAUGGUGUAGCUCGAGUAGAUGGUACAUUCUACGUAUAGAGACCUCACCGUUAGAUUUGCUGUCAACCUUCAAUAUUGAUUUUGUAUCAGGUAACCGGUGCUUGCACUGGCUUUAAUGAGUAUUGUAUUAAGAUUUAAUUUUGGAAUUAACGAUUUAGAGUACUGAUAGUAAAUCAGUCAUUUGAAUAGGAGUUAACGGUGUUAUUAUUAAUUUUCUAUCCAUUGAUAGUUGUAUUGAAGUUAUAAGUUAUAUUGAAUAAAGGUUGUUUCAUGCUUAUUAUACACUGUUGCAAUUGUAAACAGUUUGCGGUGAGGUGCACUUCACUAACUGGCCAUUUAUUUUAACAACCAUAAUACUUGUGUAUCCCUUCAGGAUUUGUAACUGGAAUUUAUUAUCACUUUAUUCAACCUGCUAUUUUAUACCAGCCAGUUAUUACAACCACUGUAUUUGUAUAUUCCUUCUGGAUCUGUGGUUUAGGUCAAUCUUCUUGUUUACUGGGUUAUUUGUCUUGUUUAGUAUCUGGUAUAUUUGGAGUCUGUUGAACUCUGUUUACGUUUAGGUUUGGUAUUGAAGUUUUAGGUUUAACCUGAGCCGAGUGUAGGCUGAUUAAGGAUUCUGUUGUCAGGAUUAGGUUAGGUAUUAUAGGUUAUAGAAAGCCCUUCUGGCAUUUGUUGUUGAUUAUAGUUUAUAGGAAGCCCUUCUGGCAUUUGUUAGUAUUAGGUAAAGUUUUUGGGAAGCCCUUCUGGCUUUUGGUAAUUUAGAGAAUUCUUUUUCAUUAUUUUUUUUAUUAUCAACCACUGCAGAAAUUUUAAUUUUAUUAAACGUUUGAC